GGAGAAAAAAUAACCAGGAAAGAGAGAGAUCGCCGGGAAUAGAGGGAGUCUCCGCCCGCCGCUAGAGGAAGAGACAGCCGAUGAAGGAGAAUGACCAGGCAUCGGAGAGCAGGCUCAGAGAGCCUUCACAGAGGCGUCGAGGGAGGUUGGACAUGGCCGAUCGAUGGCUUCACAUAUCCACCAGGGAAAAAUAAAAGCCAGAGAAGGAUGGAAUCCCCUCUGCUUACCAAAAUCCGACGAACUAGAGAGAGAGAGAGAGAGAGAGAGGGGCCUCAGGCGGCGGAGAUGCGGCGGCGCCGCUUUCGAAG
rnacentral:lncRNA from 1 species